rnacentral:snRNA from 1 species
GUGCUCUCUUCGGCAGCACGUGUACUAAAAUUGGAAUGAGACAGAGGUUACCAUGGCCCUUCCCCAAGUAUGACGUGCAAACCCAUGAAGCAUUCCAUAUUUUA